rnacentral:rRNA from 1 species
CACGCCGUAAACUAUGAUUACUCGUUGUUUGCGAUAUACUGUAAGCGACUGCGCGAAAGCAUUAAGUAAUCCACCUGGGGAGUACGUUGGCAACAAUGAAACUCAAAGGAAUUGACGGGGGCCCGCACAAGCGGAGGAACAUGUGGUUUAAUUCGAUGAUACGCGAGGAACCUUACCUGGGCUUAAAUGGGGAGUGACAGUAGUGGAAACACUAUUUUCUUCGGACACUCUUCAAGGUGC